AGGUAAAUCUAAUUUUCUAAUGCUGGCA
rnacentral:sRNA from 1 species